GGAAUAUUGCACAAUGGGCGCAAGCCUGAUGCAGCGACGCCGCGUGGGGGAUGAAGGCCUUCGGGUUGUAAACUCCUUUCGCUAGGGACGAAGCUUUUUGUGACGGUACCUAGAUAAGAAGCACCGGCUAACUACGUGCCAGCAGCCGCGGUAAUACGUAGGGUGCGAGCGUUGUCCGGAAUUACUGGGCGUAAAGGGCUCGUAGGUGGUUUGUCGCGUCGUCUGUGAAAUUCUGGGGCUUAACUCCGGGCGUGCAGGCGAUACGGGCAUAACUUGAGUGCUGUAGGGGUAACUGGAAUUCCUGGUGUAGCGGUGAAAUGCGCAGAUAUCAGGAGGAACACCGAUGGCGAAGGCAGGUUACUGGGCAGUUACUGACGCCGAGGAGCGAAAGCAUGGGUAGCGAACA
rnacentral:rRNA from 1 species